rnacentral:rRNA from 1 species
AAUCAACGCUGGCGGCGUGCCUCAGACAUGCAAGUCGAACGCGAAAGUCCCCUUCGGGGGACAAGUAGAGUGGCGCACGGGUGAGUAACACGUAGGUAAUCUACCUUCGGAUGGGGAAUAACAAUCGGAAACGGUUGCUAAUACCGCAUAAUGCAGCGGCACCUAAUGGUGACAGUUGUUAAAGCGGGGGAUCGAAAGACCUCGCGUCUGAAGAGGAGCCUGCGGCGGAUUAGCAGUUGGUAAGGUAAUGGCUUACCAAGGCUACGAUCCGUAACCGGCCUGAGAGGGCGGUCGGUCACACUGACACUGACAUACGGGUCAGACUCCUACGGGAGGCAGCAGUCGGGAAUUUUGGGCAAUGGGCGAAAGCCUGACCCAGCAACGCCGCGUGAAGGAUGAAAUCCCUCGGGAUGU